rnacentral:rRNA from 1 species
GACGAACGCUGGCGGCGUGCUUAACACAUGCAAGUCGAACGGUAAGGCCCUUCGGGGUACACGAGUGGCGAACGGGUGAGUAACACGUGGGUGAUCUGCCCUGCACUUCGGGAUAAGCCUGGGAAACUGGGUCUAAUACCGGAUAGGACUCCGGACUGCAUGGUCUGGGGUGGAAAGCUUUUGCGGUGUGGGAUGGGCCCGCGGCCUAUUAGCUUGUUGGUGGGGUGAUGGCCUACCAAGGCGACGACGGGUAGCCGGCCUGGGAGGGUGACCGGCCACGGUGGGGCUGAGAUACGGCCCAGACUCCUACGGGAGGCAGCAGUGGGGAAUUAUGCACAAUGGGCGGAAGCCUGAUGCGGCGGCGCCGCGUGAGGGAUGACGGCCUUCGGGUUGGAAACCUCUUUCAGCAUCGACGAAGCGAAAGUGACGGUAGGUGCAGAAGAAGGACCGGCCAACUACGUGCCAGCAGCCGCGGUAA